rnacentral:rRNA from 1 species
AUGACUAGAGAUAACGUUAGGAAAAGACAGAUCAUCAAGCCACUUGAGUGUGUCUUCUGUUCUGAAGUUGAAACGUGCUCCCAUUUAUUUUUUGAAUGUGUAGUAGCUAGACAGAUUUGACCAUUGAUCACAAAUCAUUUGAGGGUGGGGACUGGGUCUAAUUUUGAAUCAGUGGCUAAAUUUUGGAUUGCUAAUAAAAAGCAUUCUGCCCUCAACACUGUUAAUGCUGCUAUUCUUUGGUGUGUUUGGAAAUAUAGGAGCUCUAUAAUUUUCAAUAACACCAUGUGGAGAUCGAUUAAGCAGGUGUUGAGGCUGAUCUUAAAGACUAUCAAGAACUGGGCGAUGCUGUCCUCGACCGAGACUGCGGAAAGACUGGAGGCCUCACAACGCAUCUCACAACCUUCCUGA